rnacentral:rRNA from 1 species
AUGGAGGGAGUACGAUUUGCCAAACCAUUUCCCACCUUCUGCUCAGCUGUAUCAGCUUCAGUUUCGUCCGUUAUAAGCCGUAGCUUCAGAUUGCCUGCAGGGUUGGCUACCCGGAGGUCGGCUGGACAUCGCCUUCUGCAACAGAGAACUCUAUGGCCCCUCUCAGAACAACAAACUGUCCCUAUAUGGGAUCUCACGCACCAAGCUGUUCCCAUGAAUGAAGACGGCGGCGCUCAACACGACGAGAGGACGCAAUAUGAAUACAAGUUGGCAGAGGCGAGAAGCUUCGGCGACCAUGCCCUGUUCCUGAGCCCCACGUGCUCUAAGGAGGUCCGCGUGUCAGCUGCUGGCGGUGGCCAGCGGGUGGGGUGGAGAGGAACUACAUCUACCACCGCAAAACAAUACUCGCCGCCCUUCGAAGGUGAGCGCUCCUGUUACAGCACCAGCGAUAUAGGCACUGACUGA